UGAUGGUGGGGGACUACCCAAAGUGCCAGUCCUGUACAUUAUUUCAUCACGGGCAUACAACUGGAAAGAACCGGAACACGCCGGCUGACUUUCUCACAUAAAAACACCCCGAGUGAGGCUUGAGUACUCAUCGGUGACGGGCACAGUUAACCUCUUAGUGUUUCGUAACAAGUGCAACACUUAUUUUGUGAAUUGGAAUAUUGCGCCAAUCUUUUUCCGUAGGAGUCAACUCGGAGAACGGUCGUUCCAGUAGAACUGAAUUUGUAAAGUGAACAAGGGUAAACUUAACUCAAAUUUCGAGAAAUUGUGUCGAAAGAGAAAUCCAUACGAGUAGGUAUUGCAAAAAAGUUGGACUAUAUAUUGGAUUCAGAAAUGGAAAAUUUACAAGAAGCAAAUGACACUAACUGGGAGUUUCGCUAUAAA